GACCUGCCUUAGGAAGGAGAGGGAGGGCAGGAAGGAAAAGAAAGGACUUGGAGGUGGCAGGAGUCCGAGCCCUGCUCCUUGUGGGCGCUCACACUGCCCCCGGAGCCUGCUGGGAGUGGGGCCAGCCGUGGACAGCUGAGGUUGGGGUCAAUGCCUCCUGGGCACCCUUGCCUCGCCCCAGACCGGCCCGUCCAGUCCCCAUCACACCUCGGCGGCCUUUAUUUAUUCUGUUCCCCCAGCUCGGCCACUUCUCUGAAGGAGGGCUGGGUUCUGGGCCUGUAUCGAAUAAACACAAACCUGGAUGGCGCAGUGGUCGCAGUGGCU
rnacentral:lncRNA from 10 species